rnacentral:lncRNA from 1 species
CGCCUAUUAGAAAUCUAAUUAACUGUACAAAGAUACACUAAUUAAUUGUACAAAGAUAUAGAUAUAUGAGAAACAGAACUCACAAACAAUGAUCAAGUGAGAUGGCUAAGAACAAACUAUCUAGAGAAAACAUGUGCAACAACCCGAAGAGACUUUUAACCUACUUUCUCACAUCAAGUAAAUCUACCAUUUACAAGUGAAGAAAGACACAAACUGAACAUCAUGUCCGCAAUGUAGGAACCAUUUACAGUACCAAGCUAGUGAUGACAAAUCUUUUAACCAUCUACCACGUGCAAUAGAAAAGUGAAAUAUAAUUUGCCAGCUUCUUCUUCAAAGAAGAAUAUCAAUCAUCUGGUCAUCGUUGGUGUAUGUCACAACUCUGCUUCUCCUGGCAAAUUACAUCCAACAAAAGUAAGUAAGUUGGUUGGUAGUUAAUAGUACAGAUUAAGAGAAAUCAAGAUACAACAAGAAAUCUACAUUUUGAAGAAAUCAAGAUACAAAAAGAAUGUCAAAAUGGUUCAAGAAAUAUUUUGAUUAAUGGAUGAACGUCGUGUUAUAUUUGGAAAAGCAUUAGUGUUCUAUUUUGGGAGAGCUAACUUGUUGCAUUCCUACAAGGAAUUUCUCCUAGAAAUUUUUAAAAAAUACAACGUUCAUCUCUGCUCUCAAGAGAAAUGGACUUCUCAAUAGUUUCAAAAACAUGCAGGAAUUAUAAUUGCUUGUGAAUCUCUCCAUAGAGGUGGAGAUGACAUAAGUAUUGUGAACUGGAAAAGAAGUAAAUAUUUAUAGAGCUAAAUGGAUAGAUAAUUAUUUGUUGCAGACAAAGAAAUAACAUCAUUAAAUUGUCGAGAAAUAUAAAUUAGGACUGCAUGCCCAAGCGAUGCCUAUAAGUACAAUUGGUCUGUCACUUCAGAAUUCAUCCACAAGAUUCAUACAUGUACUGCUAAACUGUAGUAGCAUGGAAACUUUUCUAGCUCACUUGUGUGCAUUAAAAGAAUCUUUAUUUUGCCACUAUACAAACGUUAGUCUUCAAGUGGAGCGUAAAACAUAAAUAAUGUAACAACUAUGCAUCAAAGAAAUCAAUUACCAUCACUUGUCAUUCAUAAAAAAUAUAAAUCAUCUAUUGGGUUAGAGCACCGCAUGAACUCAGAAGAAGAUUAAUCACCAAUCUCAUUGGUCAUUUGCCCGAAUUUUCAUUCGUCUACAAAUAAUUACAUAUGACAAAAAAUAUUAAACAGGUUACUGAAACUCAUUACGCAUCUGAAACCAUUUAAAUUUCAGGAAACAAUGUAACAAGUAACAUCAUACAUUGCAAUGUGGGCCAUGAGAUUUCGCCAUCAUGAUUGAACCCUGACAGGUUGCUGUCAUUGCACACAUGAACAUGUGUUAGUUAUCGUAUAUUGCAGCCGGCAACAGAGCAUGAUAUUUUAAAUAGAGAGCUUCUUACACUGAUGUUCCACAGCACGCCACACCAGGAGCAGUAGCUCGGGCAUGCCCCGUCGCUGGACCUGUCAUACAAAAUGUUGCGAACACCGUGGAAGGAUUUAUUGAUCUCUAGCAGCGUUCGUCCUGAAAACUUGCAGAAUCACAGUUGAUUAGUAGAAUCAGCAGCAACAAAAGAAUAUGACAUCAUGAUAAAUCGAGUUAACCGAGGCACUUUUGUGCCGCUUCAUUGGUCAUACCCUUCAGGAGCACUUAACCAUGUGUUUUGCAAUGCAACUACAAGAUCACAUGUAGGUGAGCAUGAAUCCCAAGUUGAUUCAGGCAGCCAUAGUCGAGGCAGCACGGAGUAGGGGCGUUGACCUGCCGAUGAGGCCCCGUGAUCCACGAGAGUCAAAUCCCCUCGUCGUGUCGCUGUCGUCCGUGUCCAGUUCUCCAGAGUCGUCACUGCCUUAAGCGAUCCCCCUCCUCCCACUAGCCUUUCCAUCGUUCCACCGAUUUUUUUUUCAAUCCCCCAUAAACCAGACGAUAAACCAGCAGAUUAGUUUAAUAAAAACCCCUUAGUACAUCGUCUUCUAUGGCUAAAAGUCUUCCCACAGGUCCUCCCACCGUCUCAACGCCUCACCCACGACGCUCACGAUCGCCCACGCCGCCGCCCCGCCGCCCAGGUUCCCACCUCCAUCACAACUCCCCGCAGCACCGCCGCCGGAGGGCCGGCCGGCAAACCCGCACGGCGCCCAAGGGGAAGGUGACGGCACGUGGCAGUGUGGCGGUCUCGUUCCCCUCCCGCCCCACCCCACCAACCCCCUCCAACAUUGGGACACCACCGGGUCCCCCCUCCAACGCCGCCUCCCUCAUCUCCGGUGACGGGAUCUGGCGAAGCUCCUUCCCCACCCCGCCGCCGCACCUCACGCCCGUCUCCUCCGGCCAGCCUCCGCCCGCAACGUCCCCCCUCCCGUUUUUAGAAGGGAAGGGAAGGGAAGAGAAGAGGGAGAGCGAGCAGGUGAGGCGACGACCAUGGCGCUCGCAGAUCCGUCGGCCCCGUCGUACGUCCUCGGCCGCGCGUGAUUCUGCUUAGUGGCGUGACGGGGUGCCUGCUCCGCGCCCACGCCAUGGCCGUCUCGGGACGCCGCCAUCGACCUUGGACCACACCCCGCCGCCAUGGAUGCACAAUUCUCCUCACCCGGGCCAUGUUCUUCUUCUUCUUCUCUCUCUCUCCCCUAAUGUGUUUCGAUUUGGUCCUGAUGUGUUUCGAUUUGGUCCUGAUGUGUUUCGAUUUGGUAGGCCUGCCUCUUCUUCUCUCUCUCCCCCUAAUCUUGCUGCUCAGUUAGUCAACAAAUGAGAUGUUAAGAUAGUUCACCUGGUGUGAACAGGUCGACGGCAGUGGCAGCAGGCGGCGCAUGCAGGGCUCGGGCAGCGCCCCGACGUCUCACGCACGAGCUGCCUUUCGAGCUGCUACAGGUCGGCAAGCUGAGCAAGGUAGUCAAUCCUUCACAUGCAUGUUUAUUUGGCAUCCUGUAGUCAAUCCUGUACGAGUCCUCUUUUGUCAAGAUGUAUGUGGUAAUCUGUAGUCCUCUUUUGUCCUGUAGUUAGCUGUAUGUGGUAAUGUGCAACCAACUGUAUCUAAUUUCUUGUACUGCAUGAUUAUUACUAACUAACUAACUGUAUGUGGUAAUCUGCAACUAACUGUAUCAACUUUGGCUGCAUGUGUGUUAAAACAGAUUACCAUAUUUGGCAAAUAAAGUUGAACUAUACUUAUGCUUACUUCUGCUGCUCUAAUUUAUAGGUAAUGGAAGUGUGCCUUAUAUUAAUAGGAUGAGCAUGGAUGAAACCAGAAGGAGGGGCAAUGGCAACCUCGACAAUGAAGAUGAUGUUGUGAUGAGGAAUGAUUCAACUCCAAGAGAGACAGCAUGGAAAGGCCACUACCAUGAUCUGAAUUCUGUUAAUUCUGCUUUUUUUUUUUGCAUGGAUAUUAUGAUGCUUUUAUGUCUGUUGGUUCUGUAAAAACUCUCUUUUACAGAGCAAAUUUCUGUUAAUGUAUAUGUUACAGUAUACCUGUACAUUUAGUCAGUUACAGAAAAUAUACCUGUACAUUUAGUCAGUUACAGAAAAUAUACCUGUACAUUUAGUCCGUUACAGUAUACCUGUACAUUUAGUCAGUUACGGAAAUAAUGGAAAAUAAAUCUUUCAAAGUCCAGUUACAGAAAAUAUAGUCAGUUUCUCUGCCUCCGUGUAGUGAAACAAAAAAAAUCAUGGUGUUGCUCUGAAUUAUAUAAGCCUGUUGAUGUGUUUGUUUGUAUUAGACAUAUUUAUUAUCUUGUUGUGAAUUAUAUAAGACAGAAUUAUAUAAGCUUAGUUUUUAUUUUGUAUUAUGAUGUAUUUAGAGUUGAAAUGAUGUUUAUUCUGUUGUAGUUAUAUAUUACUCCCUCCGUUUUUAAAUAUAAUAUUCAUGCCUCCACAUACGGCUUUCCGGCCACAGAGCGCAAGGCACGAUGGACCGGCUCGUCUAACGACCACAUGCAUGGAAUUAGGCGGCCAAUUUAACGACGGCUAGGAGGCAAUCUUAGGUGGAGCGCAAGGCACGAUGGACCGGCUCGUCUAACGACCACAUGCAUGGAAUUAGGCGGCCAAUUUAACGACGGCUAGGAGGCAAUCUUAGGUGGAUGCGCGGCGCAACAGCCCAGUGGGUAGUGAAUAGGAUUUCUCCGUUGAGGCGGCAUCGGAAAGGAGAUGUCAAGAUUGCAGCUAGGGUGUGGAUUUACCGGAUCGACUGUUAUGUAGCCCGUUGCCCCAGGCCGUCGACGUCGUCGCCGCACUCUCCUGCGAGAUCACGCGACUUGGCAGUUCCCGAGCCGCCGACGCGUUGCCACACUCUCCUGCGAGACCACGUGAUUACUGGAUCGACUGUUGUACUGCCCGCUGCCCCAGGCCGCCGACGCCGUUGCCGCACUCUCCUGCAAGACCACGCGACUUGGUAGUUCCUGAGCCGCGACGCCGUUGUCGCACUCUCCUGCAAGACCACGCGAUUUGGCAGUUCCUGAGCCGUCGACACCAUUGCCGCACUCUCCUGCGAGACCGCGCGACUUGGUAGUUCCUAAGGCGUCGCAACCGCGAACUUUCUCGGAAGAGACGGAAUCGUGGGCGUGGGAUAUGUGCGCGUGGGUUUACGGUUGUUUCAUUUUUGCCGGGCCGUGCCCGUGGGCUGGAUUUCUG